CCAUGGCAGCCGCCGGGCCACACGCUGACUCCGCGCCUGACGAUCCCCCCCGGCUUCAUGGAGCCACAGAACCACUCAUGGAUUGGGCUGGAAGGGAGCUUAAAGAGCAUCCAGCUCCAACCCCCCUGCCAUGAUCAUGCUGUCUUUGCCCCUCUCCGCCUUUCCAGAGGAUCGCUAGGUUUGACUCCGUUUUCCGGCGGGGUUGGAAGAGGACAAGGACACUUCCACAGGGUCUGCCAGCCUCAAGCAGCGCCCGCGCUUCCCUCUGGCACCCAGAGGUUUUCCUGGAACAUCUUCCCACUGCUCCAUUAUCUCAGAUCCCUGAAGAUCUGGGAUACAGCACCUGAAUCAACCAAAGUGUGAGGACAAGAUGUGAACUGCUCUAGAUCCUGCCGAGGCUGAGCUGAGUGUUUUCCUACUCAAAGCAGCCCUUCGAAACCCACCAGCCCCAGCUCUGUUCCCAGGUAAAACUCCAGCCUCUGCUUUUCCAGCCAGACAUCUCCUGAGUGGUUCCUUAGUGUUUGUUCCCAGGUGACUGGCAGCAGGGCUGGGUCAGGAAUAAUUUGUCCCUGCUAGUCUGAUUUCUCCCUCCUGUGCUGCCCCUGGGAGCUGCUGCUGACUCCCAGCAGUCUGGAGGAUGGAGAACAGCGGCGCCAGGCCCUUCCCACAGCAGCCACAAAACCUGGAGAGCGGCCGGAUUCUCCCGAGAUCCCUCUGACAAGGUAUUGUUCCCAGCAAGUCACCACACCACGGAUCAAAUAAAGCAGUUUAUUUGGCAUAGACUGAACUGCAACAGAAAUUCCCGUGGAACAAAGCCUGGUUACACAAACUGAACGAGUGCAGUUAUGAGUCUCAGUUACACCUAACGACUAAACAAGGUAAAAAAAACCACAUUU